AUGGAGGGAGUACAUGGUAUCAGACUAUGUUUAGCCAACAUGUCUUCUACCGCUGCCGCUGCACCGCCGCCGGCACAGGAGCCCCCCUCUACUCCUUCCACCUCUGGAGAGAUCUUCUCUCCGACCCUUGCCGCACUCCUCACCAGCACCAACGGCGUGAACAAUGCCCUUGUCAUCAGCACCAUGGCUGGCACAUCCAGCGUCGGCAAUACCUUCGGCUCUUUCAUGGCCGGGGUGAUGCCCCCUGCAUCUACUCCACCGCCUAUCGUCGCUGCUCGGCUCGAUCCCGUUUGCCCACCUAUGCAUCAGACUGCAUGUUAG
rnacentral:rRNA from 1 species